GUGUUUAUCAUAUGAGUGAUAUCAGUGAAAUAGAAAGUAACUGAAACGGGAACAUAAACGUCAUUUUAAAGACGGAGCAAAAAGAAGAUGGAGUGAAAUCAUUAACUUGAAUAAAAGAACGGAGUUGGCUAGAACCCAUUUGUGGUUUAAUCUGGCCUAAUGUGUUCCAGUCUCCUGAGAUAGGAGGCACUGUUUCUAAAAUGAGUCUCUCAAAGGAGUCAGAGACCGAAGAUGGAACCUUCAGCACUGACAGAAAGAGGGUCGAGGUAGAAAGAGCAGAGUCACCUGUACCCAGCUGUCUGUCUAUGAAGAGUAAUAAUUCAAUGGAUUGU